rnacentral:rRNA from 1 species
AGAGUUUGAUCCUGGCUCAGGACGAACGCUGGCGGCGUGGAUUAGGCAUGCAAGUCGAACGGUAUAAACCUUUCGGGGUUUAGAGAGUGGCGAACGGGUGAGUAACACGUAGGUAAUCUACCCUCAAAACGGGGACAACCCAGGGAAACUUGGGCUAAUACCGGAUGCGUGCAAGCAAUGUUUUGGCUGUUAAUGCUAUUCACGGAAGUGAGUAGUGUUAAUGGUUGAGAGCAUUAUUUGCAUAAAAGGUGGCAUAUGCUGCCGUUUGAGGAUGAGCCUGCGUCCUAUUAGUUAGUUGGUGAGGUAAUGGCUUACCAAGGCGAUGAUAGGUAGGCGGCCUUAACGGGUGGUCGCCCACACUGGGAUUGAGAGACGGCCCAGACUCCUACGGGAGGCAGCAGUCGAGAAUAGUCUACAAUGGACGGAAGUCUGAUAGUGCGACGCCGCGUGAACGAAGAAUCCCUUCGGGGUGUAAAGUUCUUUUAUACGUGAGCAGUGCCCUUUAUAUGAAUAGUAUAGAGGGAGGGAUUUAAGCGUAUGAAUAAGCAACGGCUAACUCCGUGCCAGCAGCCGCGGUAACACGGGGGUUGCAAGCGUUGUCCGGAAUUACUAGGCGUAAAGUGCAGGUAGGCGGAUAGAUAAGUUUAAGGUUAAAGGCUACGGCUUACCCGUAGUAAGGCGUUAGAUACUGUUUAUCUGGAAUGCGGUUGAGGGAGACAGAAUUCCUGGUGUAGCGGUGGAAUGCGCAGAGAUCAGGAGGAAUACCGAAGGCGAAGGCAGUCUUCUAAGCCGAUAUUGACGCUAAACUGCGAAGGUGUGGGGAUCAAACAGGAUUAGAUACCCUGGUAGUCCACACAGUAAACGAUAAUCACUAGGUGUUGGGUUCGUAUAGGACUCGGUGCCGGAGCUAACGCGAUAAGUGAUUCGCCUGGGGAGUACGAUCGCAAGGUUAAAACUCAAAUGAAUUGACGG